rnacentral:rRNA from 1 species
CAAGUCGGACGAAUCCCACUGGUGUAGCAAUACAUCGGUGGGGGAAGUGGCGAAAGGGGCAGUAAUGCAUGGGUAACGUACCCCGGGGUCGUGGAUAGCCGUCCUAACGGACGGGUAAUACACGGCGAUUCAGCGAGGUGGCAUCACUUUGCUGGGAAAGAUUCCGCCUCGGGAGCGGCUCAUGUCGUAUUAGCUAGUUGGUGAGGUAACGGCUCACCAAGGCGAAGAUGCGUAGCGGGUGUGAGAGCACGACCCGCGCCACUGGCACUGAGACACUGGCCAGACACCUACGGGUGGCUGCAGUCGAGGAUCUUCGGCAAUGGGCGCAAGCCUGACCGAGCGACGCCGCGUGAAGGAUGAAGGCCUUCGGGUUGUAAACUUCUGUCGAGGGGGAUCAAGGGCAACUUGAGUGAUCCCUGGAGGAAGCACGGGCUAAGUUCGUGCCAGCAGCCGCGGUAAGACGAACCGUGCGAACGUUGUUCGGAAUCACUGGGCAUAAAGGGCGCGUAGGCGGCUUGUCAAGUCAGGGGUGAAAUCCGGCAGCUUAACUGUCGAAGUGCCUUUGAUACUGAUGAGCUCGAGGGAGGUAGGGGUAUGCGGAACUUCCGGUGGAGCGGUGAAAUGCGUUGAUAUCGGAAGGAACGCCGGUGGCGAAAGCGGCGUACUGGACCUCUUCUGACGCUGAGGCGCGAAAGCUAGGGGAGCAAACGGGAUUAGAUACCCCGGUAGUCCUAGCCCUAAACGUUGGGUACUAGAUAGUGGACUUACAUGGGUUCACUGUCGAAGCAAAUGUGUUAAGUACCCCGCCUGGGGAGUAUGGUCGCAAGGCUGAAACUCAAAGGAAUUGACGGGGGCUCACACAAGC